AAGUAUUUCUCUCUGGCUCAAGCUGAAAUAAAGCAUUUUUUUCUCUUUAGAUUAUUAAACCAAGGAUCUAAAAGAGAAAAUAAAAAAGAUAAAAUGUUCAAGUGUUUGAGCACUUUGGAAAUUAAGCAUCUCACAGAGCUAUUGCCAGCUGAAGGGAUUUGCUGCAUUUGUUUUAUCUCCAUUUUUGGAAGCCAGGAUAUUCCCUGAAUGAAUCCCAAUUUAUUGGAAAUUCUCCCCCAGCUGUGCUAAAUGUGUGUUUAAACACUUUGCUGAACAGAGGCUCAAGGUGAUUUAAUCCAGGCUCAGCCUGGCCACAUCUCCUGUCUUUACACUUGUAUUUUUCCUGAGUGAUGUUGGCCUCUGAUAGGAAAAGGAAACAAGCUGUUCUCCAUUUUAAGGAAACUCCUAUUUUUUAUUUCAGAAUUAAAUAUUUUUGGGGAAAAAAAAAAAGAAGAAAAACACUCAAAAAGAAAGUUAUUUCCUUUCAGGCCUUGAAUAUGCACAGAGCCUUUAGACAUAUUUUAUAGACAUGGAACAGAGUAAGGGUGGUAGUGUUUCCCUAUGGAGCUAGAGUGGAGAGAUAUCUUUGUUAUCUCUCUGUAAAUCUUCUGCCAUCUCCCAUCAGUUCUGUGUGCACACAGUGACUCUGAUCUGUCCUGAAUGCAACAACUGCUGAGGUUCAGUCUGGGCAGUGCCUUCUUCCUGCCAACACCAACAUCAUCUUUUCUCCUUGAGGUUCAGCUGUAAAAUAAGGGGAAAAUUCCCAUAUUCUUCACCUCCUGCCUCAAAAAGCCUUGUAGAAGAAGCCAGAAAAUUAUAUUGCACCAGAUAUCUAUUCCUGCUUUUAUGGGUUUAUCUCCACAUUCUGGGAAAUUACCACAAUCAGAUUUCAUAUUUAAUAUAAAAAUAGUAGGGCAGAUGAUAUCAUAUCCUCAAAGCUAACUAAAUUUUGUGUUGUGAAGUCUUGCUUAAUCAAAGUUUCAUUUCCAUUUGUUCAGGGCAUAUUUUGUCACUUUUAUUUUUUACUGACAAUUUUCUGUAGAUCUCAUAGAUGGAUCCAACCCAGAGGUCUCUGAAGAACAGGGGACUCGGGGUAAGGUCUGAACUUAAUUCAAUUUAAUUCCUGACCCUUUAAGUAUUCUUCAAAAUGAAUAAACUGGAAAUGAAUCUGGCAGGAGGGUCCCACGUCACCUGCUGGAAGGAAAUAUUUGGAAUUUAGCUAGAAAUAAACACCAUAUUUGAAAUUCAGCUAGAAAUAAACACCAUACAAACAUCCAGGUUUUUGCUGUUUAAAAUUCAAUAGAAAUAAAGCCUGUUAAAGGCAGGAUUCUUCUUGCCCUCUCCCCCUCCCAGCACACAGACAAUGUUCCAGGCUCCUGGCUCUGUGUGCCUUGCACAAAUAUUUGUCUGUGUGUCGCUGCCACUCCACUGCAAUCGUGGCAUCUGGUAGUAGCUGGGAGACUGGGAGGUGCUUGGGAAUCUCAGCAGGAAAAAGAGAGUGGAUUUCAGACACGAGAUCUACAACAGCUUUUGAGCCUGCAUAAACAGGAUGAGGUUGUUGUGCUUUUGGCAGGGGUUUGUUCUGCCCCAGACACCUGCAGGGGUUCCCCUCCAGCCUCUCUCAAACGCAGCCCUGGGGACACAGCGCCUGCCCCACUACACCCACCCCAGUCCUGCAGCCUUCAGGCCACAGAUCAGGGCCAGAGGGAGCAAAGGAUUUGGUUUUUCUGCUCACCCAAAUCAUAGAAUGACAGAAUGGUUUGGGUUGGAGGGGACCUUAAAGCUCCUUGGGACGUGGAAAUUGUGUUCUGUGUGUGUUCAGCACGUAAAGAUUCCAACUCUGGGAUUCUGGAUCAGGGAUUUUAGAAAGGGCAAAGAAAAUAUCUUCCAUGGCACACACAGUCUGUGGCUCUGCAGGUGAACAAGGCAGCAAACCCUGUGUGUCCUCGAGAACAGAACUUUGCCUUUUGAUUUAUCUACAUUUGGAGGCUCAGAAUUUUUCAUAAACCUACAGUAACUUACACACUGUCAGGCUCCACUUCAGGAGAAUACAAAUGCACUUGCACAAACUUCAGCACCGAACUCCCUCAGGAAUCAAAUGAAAGUCAAGCACUUGGCUGCACUGAGGAUUAAAGGAUGUUUCCAUAAACUUAUGUGAAAACCUCUUUAUCCUGUGUUACUUAAAGCUGUACAUUCAUCCCAAGUCAUGUUCAGAAACAUAACUCCCUCCCCUGUGAUUUUCCAAAGCAUUUUAGUGUUUUCAGGUGCCCAGCAUGACAUAUUCCAAUUAAUCCUGAUUUUCUAAGCACCUGCCUCUUGUAAUUGGUCCCUUUCAGAGUGUCUCAAACACAAAUAUAAGGUGUCCAAAAUUGCUAACUUCUUUUGAAAAUCCAGAACCAUGAUGAACAGUCUACCUACAAGAGUCCAGCCCAGAUGAAAAUUGCAUGGAUUCAAGCCCCCCAAAAUCAGAGGCAAUAGACAAUACCUGCUCCUGUGGAAUGACAAUGCACCCUGCCAUUAGAGUAAAGUUUCUCUUAGAAAGGAGAAAAUUGCACCAUUCCCAGUGAGAACAAGUGCAAAUCUUUUCACUUCAGCUCACAAAAUUAUUAAUGUUGUGGUCUGUAAUUCUGGCUAAUCAAAUAUUCCAUUGCUCUGUGUUGCCAGUCGAAUGUUCAUGGAGAAAUCAAUGCCACAGAGAGAUUGAAAACUUACCCUGAAUUCCUUCCCUCAGACAAGGAGUCCCCAUCUGGAGGGCAAAGGCUCCAGCAAAGGGCAGUGCUUUGCAGGCUCAGCCCUUGCAUGGAUCAGGAGCAAUGGAAAUUUCUCAGGAGCAAGGAGAGCAAAGGCCAGUUCAGACAAACUCUUUCCCAAGUGGGAAAGAGCUGGGAAUGUUUAAAGAGUUUUCAGUUGCUCCAAUGGGUUGUUUAGAUCUGCUCAGAAAGAAUCUGUACCCUGAAAGCAGAGGGGACAGGAGGACAGUGCACGGCUGAAUCCAGAUGCCACCAGGAUCAGGGAGCAGCAGCAGAGCUGUGCCCUUGCACAGUGCCUGGCUCUGGUGACAGGGACAGGGACAGCCCUGGGACAGGACAGGACUGACUCCCACUCUGGAAAAGGUGGCAGCAGCUCUGGUUCGACCAGCUCCUCCUCAGCCCUGCCCGAGGCACAGCGAGAGAUGAGGAACAAACUGAGAAAAGACAAUGGUUUGACUGAUUUUUGCAAUCCUAAUCUGAAACCUAAAGCCAUUCCUAAAUAAGGCACCUCAAAUCCCUUGUUUAUAAAGAUAGACCUUGUGAUCCCCAUUUCCAGGGUACCAGAAAACCAAAUUCAGUGAUAUCUGUAAAGCUCUGGUGAUCUGCGAGCAAAUGGAACCAGAGAACAGAAAAAGGUGAUUAUCCUGUCAGGUUUGGCCUGGGAGGAAGAUUAUCCAUCUAUCUUGCCAGACCUAUUUAUCGUCUGAUUUUCCCCUGGCUUAGCUUUUAUCACCUUUCUAAUCCUCCCCAUCUAAUUCAGACAACAUUUUAUCUCAGCAGUUCUCACCCAGUGCUGACGAAGGUGGGCUUGGAGCUCUGAGCAGGUUUUACGUGACCUCAUGAGGGGCUGCACAGGAGCAGUUUUCCUUUUUGUUAACACGAGCAGAGAACCGAAGAAGCGAUCUCUCGAAGGAUCCCGGCUGGCAGCAGUAUCACCAUCUGACUGAAGAGAACUCAGCCACACGCAUAAUCCUCGGGAAAAUUCAUCUCCACCCUCCCGCAGACCCCGGUGAGAGCCCUUGAAGUGGUAAUUAAAGUCUAUUGAGUGGCAA